rnacentral:lncRNA from 1 species
CUCCAGGGUAUCUACUACAGUAGCAUCUAUUCACAGGCUGUGGGGGUGUAAUGGUGUGUGUGUGUGUGUGUGUUGGGAUCAAACUCCUAGUCCUAGAAGUGCACUGAUUAAAUGUACAAAGGACUUCAUGUGGCUAUGGCACCAGGACACCUCCUGCACUCAGGGGCAUCUGAGGUGCUUAUAGAUUCUGUCAGUUGCAUGUGAAGAAAAGUUGUUUUUCACUAGACAUGGUGGUGCACACCUGUAAUCCCAGUGGCUUGGGAGGCCGAGGCAGGAGGAACUUGAGUUCAAAGCCAGCCUCAGCAAAGGUGAGGGACUAACCAACUCCGUGAGACCUGUCUCUAAAUAAAAUACAAAAUAGGGCUGAGGAUGUGGCUCAGUGACUGAGUGCCCCUAAGUUCAAUCCCCAGUACAAAAAAAAAAGUUGUUUUUCCUUUUUUCAGGUUUGGAGUCAUUGUGAGUGUGUGUGUGUGUGUGUUUUUUUUUUUUUUGUGUGUGUGUGUAUGUUGCAAUCACUUAAGGGAAAUUGGUUCUUCCAACCAGUGAUUGUUUGAAUUUCCUGGAUCUAUGAAAUGACAGAAAAACUCAGCAUUUAAUGAAGAAUGGUGUUGCCUAAGUUGUGUGUGUGUGUGUGUGUGUAUUUUCCUUAGUCAUGAUCUUUCUAAGUUUCCCAUGUUGGCUUUGAACUGGUGAUCCUCCUGCCUAAGCUUUCCACAGCUGGGAUUACAAGUGUGGGCCACCAUACCUAGUUCCCUAAAUGUUCUAAGUGCUCCAUUAUAUUUAUUUAUUUAAUUUAAGCUGCAAAAUAGCCCUAUGAUCAUUCCCAUUUUAUAGAUAGAAAACCAAGGAACUAAGCCUUGAAUGACCUGCCCAAUGUACUACAUUUAAGGGAAUAUUGGAUUUAGGACCUGAUAGUAAUCAAGGCCCCAGAGUCUAUACUCUUAGGCAAUAUGGAUUUUCCAAAUAAUCAUUGCAGGCAUUAUGCCAAUUUUUUUUUUAAAGUGGAGUGUGACUAC